rnacentral:rRNA from 1 species
GUGUCAGCCGCCGCGGUAAUACAGAGGUCUCAAGCGUUGUUCGGAUUCAUUGGGCGUAAAGGGUGCGUAGGCUGCGAGGUAAGUCUGGUGUGAAAUCCCGGGGCUCAACCCCGGAACUGCACUGGAUACUGCUUUGCUAGAGUACUGGAGAGGGAACUGGAAUUUACGGUGUAGCAGUGAAAUGCGUAGAUAUCGUAAGGAAGACCAGCGGCGAAGGCGAGUUCCUGGACAGUUACUGACGCUGAGGCACGAAGGCCAGGGGAGCAAACGGGAUUAGAUACCCCCGUAGUCC